rnacentral:rRNA from 1 species
GUGAGGAAUUUUCCGCAAUGGGCGAAAGCCUGACGGAGCAAUGCCGCGUGAAGGAUGAAGGCCUAUGGGUUGUAAACUUCUUUUCUCAGAAAAGAAUUAUGACGGUAUCUGAGGAAUAAGCAUCGGCUAACUCUGUGCCAGCAGCCGCGGUAAGACAGAGGAUGCAAGCGUUAUCCGGAAUGAUUGGGCGUAAAGCGUCUGUAGGUUGUUUAAAAAGUAUUCUGUCAAAGAUUAGGGCUUAACCCUAGAUAGGCAGAAUAAACUUUUAAGCUAGAGUUUGGUAGAGGCAGAGGGAAUUCCCAGUGGAGCGGUGAAAUGCGUAGAUAUCGGGAGGAACACCAAAGGCGAAGGCACUCUGCUGGGCCAAUACUAACACUGAGAGACGAAAGCGAGGGGAGCAAAUGGGAUUAGAAACCCUGGUAGUCC